rfam:Dipodomys ordii contig_21895, whole genome shotgun sequence.
GGUGGCUCAGUGGUAGGGUGCUUGCCUCACAUGCAGGAGGCUCUGGGUUUGAUUCCUCAGCACCA